rnacentral:lncRNA from 10 species
GGACUACAGGCAUGAGCCACUGAGCCUGGCCGUUUGAAAUUCUUAAUGAUUUUUGAAAAAGAGGCGCUACAUUUUCAGUUUGCACUGGACUCUGCAGAUCACGGGGCUGGUCCUACCUCCAACAACGUCAGAGCUACUGCUUUCCCCCAGACCUCACCAGAAUGGAAUAUAAUCAUCUCAACCUUUUUGUUAUGGCUGUUAAUUUAAUAGGUGGAAAUGUGCGCCUCAGUUGUUUUAAUUUGCAUUUCUUUGAUUACUGGCCAGGUUGACUGUGUUUCCUCACAGUCUGUUUACUAACCAUGCUUCCUUUUAUGUGAGCCGCCUGUGUCCUUUGCCCAUUUAUGUUUUCAAAUGCCAAAAUAAGUUUCCUCUCUGUGGGAAUGAAUCAUCAAUUUUUUAAAUGUAUGGAGAGAAUGUUUUCUGCAGAAACAGCCUGGGGUUUCAGGAAGGCAGGCCCAGUUCAGGGGUGCCUUGGGAGCAAAGGUCCUGUCAUUCCAACACUAAGCAACCCAGUGAUUCCAUGGAAAGCAGAAAGAAGGACAUAAAGAAACGGAUACUUGGUGACAUCUUUGACUCACUGGAUCAAACCUUGCCUGAAGCUCACAUUUCUGAAAUUUCCAGAUACAAGAACAAAUACUUCCUCUUUAUUGUUUUACUAGAUUUGAGACAAGCUUUAAGUUUCUCAGACUCUUCCUCUUCCUAACAGAUUUAUCAGAAGCUGAAAGCUCUGAUCUUGUUGGGAUGCGGAUCGUGUCAGGAGAAGGCUUACUUUGCACGCUUUUCUUAGUCUGGUUGCCUAACUCAAGAACCUCGGCAUGGCUCUGUUACUUCUCUACUCAGACAAGCAUCCCUGCAGACACUCACUAGGCUAACUCUGUCUUUAUUUUUAGAAUUAGACCUUUACGAGAAGCACAGUUUUGUCUUCAGUUUCCUCUCCCCCCACCCGGAAUGGCCUGAGCCGAAGCCAGCUCCCUCCGAGAAGUCAUUACCGCCUGACUUGCGUUUGAUAUUUAGACACCUUGGUCACAACAUCUUGCAUUCUCUCGGGAUGCUGAUUUCUAACUGCUCUUUGGCCUUUCCUGCAUUGGUCCUCCUCAGGCAGGGGAUCCCUGCUCUUCUAUAUUAAUGCUGGCUCCCCGUCCCCUGUCCACCAUGAGUCAAAGCAAUGUGAGUCCCUCACCAGAUGCAACUGCCCAGUCUUGGACUUUCCAGUGACCAGAAUCAUGAGCCAAAUAAACCUCUUUUCUUUAUGAAUUACCCAGCCUCAAGUAUUCUGUUAUAGCA